rnacentral:lncRNA from 1 species
CCUAUCUGAGUCACCCGUCUCAUGAUCGUUUCCUGAGGGAUCAAUACAACUCCUUUUUGUGCUCACUCAAGGACCGGAGGGACCAACAAGAGGCUCGAGAGGCAGUGCAAGUCCCUGAGAUUGCAUCUGCGACUGAAUCUGAGACUGCAUCUGGCUGAAGGUGUUGGAUCAAGUGGCCUCAGAAUAAUUAAGAAGGGGGGGCUGAAUUAAUUAUUCCUAAACCUUUACUAAUUAAAAAUUUACUCUUCUA